rnacentral:misc_RNA from 1 species
UCAUCAUCACUGUAAUGGCAUUUUGGUAACCAGUUCAUUUUUCAAAUCCGACACUCAUAAGUGAGAACAUACAGAACCAUGUUCCACAUGUGUAUAUACUUUACAUUAAAAAAAAAAAGGCCAAUGUAAACAGAAUUAUAUCAUUUCAUUUGUGUGCGGGGCAAUGUGCCAAAAUUUUUUUUUUUUUUUCACUUUAUUGAG